ACUGGGGGAAUUCUGAAGAACAAGCAUGUCAGCAGACGGGGAGUCUUGGCUGCAAUCCAGGAGGAAGGAUUGAAAGUCAACAGACAAAAAGUUCAAUUAGUGCAACAAGAGGAUCACAUAAAGGAGUGAGUGUUAAGCGGUCACCAGACCUGGAUCAGCAUAGAAACAUGGAUCUCCUUUGGCAUCUAAUUGUUCAGGACAUACUGAGUACCUGCACUUACAGAAAUCAAGCCUUGAGUGGAACUCCCCUGAAAGCAAGGCACCGGGAAGCCAAG